ensembl:lncRNA novel transcript, antisense to PELI1
GACUUCGGGAAAAUCAUCAGGAAAGCAAUGGAGAUUUCCCACCUGAAUUAGCUUGUGUUAACUAGCUAAUCUUUUUAGAAUAGUAGCUUCUGCCCAUAAUUUAAAGAAACGAUGUAGAAACCAAUGCAUUAUCUUUUCUUUCUGGGAGAAGAGCUCUUAAAAGCCUGGAAGUGGAAGAUCAUUAGGCCUGGUUGAAGAUGGCUGAGCGUAAAACAGAAUGCAAGUCAGCUGGAGCACGUACUACUGGAGGCAGAGCCCCAUGAGAAGGGGCCAAGAACCCGCACCCAUCAAAAUCAAGAAGAAAGGCUGAACCCGGAGAGAAAAGGGAGCAACUGAUGUUGCCAUGCAGAUCCCUUGGUUGCUAUGAGAUGGUAACAUCACUCUGCCCCACCAUUGGCCAGUGCCUCCUCAGCUGCGGUGCCUCCCAGGCUGUGUGGUUCUCACGCGGGCCACUGACACAGAGCUGUUACUAUGGUGAACUUUACAAUUUCCUUUGAUUGGUGGAUUUCAGAAAUAGGCCAUCAGCGGAAUUCAUUAUAUUCAGCUAAGUAAAAAUGAAAAAUAAAUACUAUAACUUUCCCCUCAUCACUAACAUGAAGGAAACGUGACCCUUCAUGACAUAAUAAAUCGCUGUUCGGUAACUUAGGAUCCUUCAGGGGACUGAAGCGGGAUGAUCCUCCUAUGCCAAAUUUGGGUGGGAAAGAUAUUCCCUGUAGCUUUGAGUCGACUCUUCAGAGUUAAGGGCAGUGGGCCAACCAGAGUUGGAACUUCAGAGUUGGGAGGAGGUGUGGGAUGGGGCAUGCAUUGAAAUGUAAACUCUAUUGUCUCUGAAGUGAUGGGUGAUGCUGGGGGCCUGAGUGUGGAGGGCAGUUUUACAUCUCAGGACAAUGUUUUCUCAGAUGCUCUUCCAGAAAGAAAAGCCAGGAGUACUCCUGGCUGGAGGCGGCAUGCCUGAGGUCAGAGUCAAAGUAGGGUUUGUGCUGUCUGAAUCCUUUCUCCCACUCUCCCCAGCCUGGCUCAGCUUCUCAGCUUCUCAGGUGGAUUGGUGAGUCCUGGCCAAUUACGCUUCAGCUCAUCUCUACUCUCAGCAAAUAGGAAAAGGGAGUGAAGGACUGAGUUUUAACUCUUCUAAUUUCGUAACCUGACUCUCUAUAAGAAAAAGUAGGAGAAAGACUGAAGAACCCGAGAGAACAGGCCUCUGAGCCCAAGCCAAGCCAUCGCAUCCCCUGUGACUUGCCCGUAUAUAUGCCCAGAUGGCCUGAAGUAACUGAAGAAUCACAAAAGAAGUGAAUAUGCCUUGCCCCACCUUGACUGAUGACAUUCCACCACAAAAGAAGUGUAAAUGGCCGGUCCUUGCCUUAACUGAUGACAUUACCUUGUGAAAGUCCUUUUCCUGGCUCAUCCUGGCUCAAAAAGCACCCCCACUGAGCAUCUUGCGACUCCCACUCCUGCCCACUGAGCACCUUGUGACCCCCACUCCUGCCUGCCAGAGAACAAACCCCCUUUGACUGUAAUUUUCCUUUACCUACCCAAAUCCUAUAAAACGGCUCCACCCUUAUCUCCUUUUGCUGACUCUCUUUUCUGACUCAGCCCGCCUGCACCCAGGAGAUUAAAAGCUUUAUUGCUCA